CCCCAGAUGUUGCUGAACUACAACUCCCAUGAUUCCCUGGCUAUUUGUUUCAUUGAAAGAAUCAUGGGAUUUGUAGUUCAGCAACAUCUGGGG
rnacentral:miRNA from 1 species